rnacentral:rRNA from 1 species
AGAGUUUGAUCAUGGCUCAGAUUGAACGCUGGCGGCAGGCCUAACACAUGCAAGUCGAACGGUAACAGGAAACAGCUUGCUGUUUCGCUGACGAGUGGCGGACGGGUGAGUAAUGUCUGGGAAACUGCCUGAUGGAGGGGGAUAACUACUGGAAACGGUAGCUAAUACCGCAUAACGUCGCAAGACCAAAGAGGGGGACCUUCGGGCCUCUUGCCAUCAGAUGUGCCCAGAUGGGAUUAGCUAGUAGGUGGGGUAACGGCUCACCUAGGCGACGAUCCCUAGCUGGUCUGAGAGGAUGACCAGCCACACUGGAACUGAGACACGGUCCAGACUCCUACGGGAGGCAGCAGUGGGGAAUAUUGCACAAUGGGCGCAAGCCUGAUGCAGCCAUGCCGCGUGUAUGAAGAAGGCCUUCGGGUUGUAAAGUACUUUCAGCGGGGAGGAAGGGAGUAAAGUUAAUACCUUUGCUCAUUGACGUUACCCGCAGAAGAAGCACCGGCUAACUCCGUGCCAGCAGCCGCGGUAAUACGGAGGGUGCAAGCGCUAAUCGGAAUUACUGGGCGUAAAGCGCACGCAGGCGGUUUGUUAAGUCAGAUGUGAAAUCCCCGGGCUCAACCUGGGAACUGCAUCUGAUACUGGCAAGCUUGAGUCUCGUAGAGGGGGGUAGAAUUCCAGGUGUAGCGGUGAAAUGCGUAGAGAUCUGGAGGAAUACCGGUGGCGAAGGCGGCCCCCUGGACGAAGACUGACGCUCAGGUGCGAAAGCGUGGGGAGCAAACAGGAUUAGAUACCCUGGUAGUCCACGCCGUAAACGAUGUCGACUUGGAGGUUGUGCCCUUGAGGCGUGGCUUCCGGAGCUAACGCGUUAAGUCGACCGCCUGGGGAGUACGGCCGCAAGGUUAAAACUCAAAUGAAUUGACGGGGGCCCGCACAAGCGGUGGAGCAUGUGGUUUAAUUCGAUGCAACGCGAAGAACCUUACCUGGUCUUGACAUCCACGGAAGUUUUCAGAGAUGAGAAUGUGCCUUCGGGAACCGUGAGACAGGUGCUGCAUGGCUGUCGUCAGCUCGUGUUGUGAAAUGUUGGGUUAAGUCCCGCAACGAGCGCAACCCUUAUCCUUUGUUGCCAGCGGUCCGGCCGGGAACUCAAAGGAGACUGCCAGUGAUAAACUGGAGGGAGGUGGGGAUGACGUCAAGUCAUCAUGGCCCUUACGACCAGGGCUACACACGUGCUACAAUGGCGCAUACAAAGAGAAGCGACCUCGCGAGAGCAAGCGGACCUCAUAAAGUGCGUCGUAGUCCGGAUUGGAGUCUGCAACUCGACUCCAUGAAGUCGGAAUCGCUAGUAAUCGUGGAUCAGAAUGCCACGGUGAAUACGUUCCCGGGCCUUGUACACACCGCCCGUCACACCAUGGGAGUGGGUUGCAAAAGAAGUAGGUAGCUUAACCUUCGGGAGGGCGCUUACCACUUUGUGAUUCGUGACUGGGGUGAAGUCGUAACAAGGUAACCGUAGGGGAACCUGCGGUUG